rnacentral:rRNA from 1 species
UACCUGCAGCUCAAGUGGUGGCCGCUAUUAUUGGGCCUAAAACGUUCGUAGCCGGCUGAGUAAAUGCUUGGGUAAAUCGUGCCGCUUAACGGUACGAAUUCCGGGUAGACUGCUCAGCUUGAGACCGGGAGAAGCUAGAGGUACUCCUGGGGUAGAGGUGAAAUUCUGUAAUCCUGGGGGGACCACCAGUGGCGAAGGCGUCUAGCUAGAACGGGUCUGACGGUGAGGGACGAAACCCUGGGGCGCAAACCGGAUUAGAUACCCGGGUAGUCCAGGGCGCAAACGCCGCUUGCUUGAUGUUAGCUGGGCUCCGGGCUCAGCUAGUGUCGGAGAGAAGUUGUUAAGCAAGCCGCCUGGGAAGUACGAUCGCAAGAUUGAAACUUAAAGGAAUUGGCGGGGAGCACAGCAACAGGUGGAGCGUGCGGUUU